AUGGUCCUUAUCCAGGCUAUCUGGCUGCUGGUGAAAGAGAUGUAAGCCAGCCAGUACUAAUGUCUUCCUGCAAGAUCCAAACUGUCUGCAUAAAGAUGAGACUCGAGACAUCUGGGCAGUUGCUCCUCCUGUCACCUUGGAUUCUGUGGAUGGAGCCGGUGGCAUUUCCUCUGAAGACGCACAAGGCUCUAACCUGGAGGCUGCUCAGCCUUUUGUUCUCACUGAGAUUUACUGGAUGUGCUGUGGUUUCGAGAGUGGUUGGAAAGAGGCUGACAUUUAGUUGAGAUGUCACUGUGCCUUUCUAACCCAGUUUAAUGAUUUACAGUUCGCUGUAGUAUCGGGUCCAGUCAACCUCACUGGCUGAAAUGAUAAAACCAACGUAUUGGGAAGGAAAGAGCUGACAGGAGAAAAACGCUAAAAGAUUUGAGGACUUGUCAGAAGCUCUGGAGUUUCCCCAGAAAGAACCAGGAAACAACUUCCUGUCCAUAUUUGGAAGAGACUUCCUGUCUACUGGGAAAGGACUGGGUAAAAUAGUAUGGAACCGCUCUCCUUGGCUUUCCCUAGACUCCUGGGCUGUGCCUUGGGAAAGGAGAAAUAAUGGGAGAAGUGCCUGGCGCAAUCAGGAGUCGUUGACCAAUCUGGGGCUAGGAUGCUGUCUAGAAAAGUAAGGGUCUCCUUCCGUCUGCCUCUCAGGUCUUAUGCUGAGGCCCGGCAGGCACUGAAGGCGCUUGUGUAGUGCCUCUCCUCUCUCUCCUCUCUUUCUUCAAGGCGGGGUUUCUUUUUUGCCACAGCCCUGGCUGUUCCAAAGCUUGCUUUGUAGACCAGGCUGGUCUAUCUCUUGAGUACUGGGAUCAAAGGUGUGGCCAUCACACCAGCCCCUUGUGCAGCCUCUAAGCGUCCUGGUUUAGGCAAGCAACACUGGUACAGGGAUGCCAGGCCAGCUGAGACACGUUGUUCUUUUGCUUCCACCCCCCCCCCAACCCCCCAGUCAGUCUUUGGUGGGUGGCUUAGUCAGGCAAUUGUGGGUUUCAUGGUCCAUGAAUCACUCACUAUCCACUUGGCUCUUCAGAAAGCCAGUGAACCACCUAAGGCUCCUGGUUGGCUCUUCAUUACGUUCCCACCAGAACCUCCUCUUCAAGGUUCAUGGAUUGGUAGUAUACUUUACACCAUUUGUUUUCCUUUUCUGUCUGUCUGUCUGUCUGUCUGUCUGUCUGUCUGUCUUUGUUUAUUUUUAUUGAGUCAGAUUCUCAUCAUGUAGCUCAGGCCUACAGCUCACUAUGUACUCCACGCUGGCCUCAAACUGGAGCUUAUCCUGCCUCAGCCAACCAAGUGCUGGGUGGCAGAUGUGGGCCAGCAGGCCCUGCUGAAAGUGUUCCUUUCAUAGCCAACUUCGGAUAUACCCAUGUAUAACUUGCUUGUCAAAUAAAUAUCACACUGGAAUCACAAAGAUGGAAGUCAUUGUUGGCCUUAGCUGAGAAUACUAGUGUCUCCCAGGUCCUAGAUGUUUUGGGGAAACUUGGUCAAACUCCCUGAGGAAUUUAAUUGAACAGUUUCACCUUAAGUCACCUGGGUCAGAGCAGAGCUCCGAAUCCUGUCUCUGGAGCUGGGGGUCUUGUUACUUUCUUGGUGCUAUUCUAAUGGUAUUUUGCUCUA
ensembl:lincRNA Gm42575 predicted gene 42575